rnacentral:rRNA from 1 species
CCUACGGGUGGCAGCAGUCGAGAAUUUUUCUCAAUGGGGGAAACCCUGAAGGAGCGACGCCGCGUGGAGGAUGAAGGUCUUCGGGUUGUAAACUCCUGUCAUUUGGGAACAAUGCUUACGUAUUAACUGUACGUGAGUUGAUAGUACCAGAAGAGGAAGAGACGGCUAACUCUGUGCCAGCAGCCGCGGUAAUACAGAGGUCUCAAGCGUUGUUCGGAUUCAUUGGGCGUAAAGGGUGUGUAGGUGGCGCGCUAAGUCGGGUGUGAAAUUUCGGAGCUUAACUCCGAAACUGCAUUCGAUACUGGCGUGCUUGAGGACUGGAGAGGAGACUGGAAUUCAUGGUGUAGCAGUGAAAUGCGUAGAGAUCAUGAGGAAGACCAGUGGCGAAGGCGGGUCUCUGGACAGUUCCUGACACUGAGACACGAAGGCCAGGGGAGCAA